AUGUUGUCAGGUCACUGUAUGAGCACACCAGUAUUUACCAAAAUGUUCCAAGACUCAAAACAACAGGCUGAUAUUGUGCUCAAUGUUCUCACCUGUCAGCCUCAUUGACUACUUUGCACUGAUGAGGUGCUCUUAAGAGACCUAAGUGCCUCCUAAGAACCUGGCCCUCUGGCUAUUACUUACAUCUAUCUACACCACCAUUUGACUGUGGAAUGGUUUUUCUGCAGAGUACUGAACGGACUGCAAUGUAAACAGACAACUUUUGCUAAUUCUCAUUUCUUCAUUCUGGGCAAACCAAGUACUUUAUACAUACCUAAAAGAGCGGAAAUAUUAAUCAUAAAACCAAA